GUCGAACGAUAUAGUGGCAGACGGGUGAGUAACGCGUGGAAACGUGCCUUUCACUACGGAAUAGCUCCGGGAAACUGGAAUUAAUACCGUAUACGCCCUCCGGGGGAAAGAUUUAUCGGUGAAAGAUCGGUCCGCGUUAGAUUAGAUAGUUGGUGGGGUAAUGGCCUACCAAGUCUACGAUCUAUAGCUGGUCUGAGAGGAUGAUCAGCCACACUGGGACUGAGACACGGCCCAGACUCCUACGGGAGGCAGCAGUGGGGAAUCUUGCACAAUGGGCGAAAGCCUGAUGCAGCCAUGCCGCGUGAAUGAUGAAGGCCUUAGGGUUGUAAAAUUCUUUCGCUAGGGACGAUAAUGACGGUACCUAGUAAAGAAGCCCCGGCUAACUUCGUGCCAGCAGCCGCGGUAAUACGAAGGGGGCUAGCGUUGUUCGGAAUUACUGGGCGUAAAGCGCGCGUAGGCGGACUAACAAGUUGGAUGUGAAAUCCCAGGGCUCAACUCUGGAACUGCAUUCAAAACUGUUAGUCUAGAGGCCAGGAGAGGUCAGUGGAAUACCGAGUGUAGAGGUGAAAUUCGUAGAUAUUCGGUGGAACACCAGUGGCGA
rnacentral:rRNA from 1 species